GCAUGACUGGGGUUAAUGAUAUGGAGCACACCCCACAAAGAUGCUUUGCCUUUGGGUACCAGGACUUAAAAUCGUGCACAAUGAAGGUAACAGGAGACUUGAAGGCAUCAUCCAGAAGGCACAGCUUCAAAUCCUGUUCUAGGGCCCAGGAGCGGAGAUGCUGUGCUGGGGCCUGAGCAAAGCCAGGCAAGAUGUGGUUCCUGCUAUCAAGCUGACUGACAUCUAUCAGAAAGAACAGA